UGCCCGGUAGUGUAACGGUAGCACAUCAGAAUUUGGGUCUGAGCGUCAUGGUUCGAAUCCAUGCCGGGCAACCA
rnacentral:tRNA from 1 species